rnacentral:rRNA from 10 species
GCUUACGGCCAUACCACCAUAGGCACGCCCCGAAGUCUCCGUACCUGGGAUCUCGGAAGCUAAGCAGGGUCGGGCCUGGUUAGUACUUGGAUGGGUGACCGCCUGGGAAUACCAGGUGCUGUAAGCA